AGCUAGUUGGUAAGGUAAUGGCCUACCAAGGCGAUGACGGUUAGGGGACCUGAGAGGGUGGCCCCCCACAAUGGAACUGAAACACGGUCCAUACACCUACGGGUGGCAGCAGUAGGGAAUAUUGGUUAAUGUGGGAAACCGCGAACCAGCAACGCCGCGUGCGCGAUGAAGGCCUUCGGGUUGUAAAGCGCUUUUAGAGAGGAUGAGGAAGGACAGUACUCUCUGAAUAAGCCUCGGCUAACUACGUGCCAGCAGCCGCGGUAAAACGUAGGAGGCGAGCGUUAUCCGGAUUUACUGGGCGUAAAGCGCGUGUAGGCGGUCUGACAAGUUGGAUGUGAAAGCUCCUGGCUUAACUGGGAGAGGUCGUUCAAAACUGUUAGACUUGAGAGUGGUAGAGGGAGGUGGAAUUCCGGGUGUAGUGGUGAAAUGCGUAGAUAUCCGGAGGAACACCAGUGGCGAAAGCGGCCUCCUGGACCAUUUCUGACGCUCAGACGCGAAAGCUAAGGUAGCAAACGGGAUUAGAGACCCCGGUAGUCUUAGCUGUAAACGAUG
rnacentral:rRNA from 1 species